CCUACGGGUGACAGCAGUGAGGAAUAUUGGUCAAUGGCCGUAAGGCUGAACCAGCCAAGUCGCGUGAAGGAAGACUGAUCUAUGGUUUGUAAACUUCUUUUAUAGGGGAAUAAAGUUAUCCACGUGUGGAUUUUUGUAUGUACCCUAUGAAUAAGCAUCGGCUAACUCCGUGCCAGCAGCCGCGGUAAUACGGAGGAUCCGAGCGUUAUCCGGAUUUAUUGGGUUUAAAGGGUGCGUAGGUGGAUUUUUAAGUCAGUUGUGAAAGUUUGAGGCUCAACCGUAAAAUUGCAGUUGAAACUGGAAGUCGGGAGGAUAGUAGAGGUGGGAGGAAGUCGUGGGGUAGCGGUGAAAUGCUUAGAUAUCACGAAGAACGCAGAUUGGGAGGGCAGCUCACUGGACUGCAACUGACACGGAGGCUCGAAAGUGUGGGUAUAAAACAGGAUUAGAUACCAGGGUAGUC
rnacentral:rRNA from 1 species